rnacentral:rRNA from 1 species
CCUACGGGAGGCAGCAGUAGGGAAUCUUUCACAAUGGGCGAAAGCCUGAUGGAGCAACGCCGCGUGCAGGAUGAAGGCCUUCGGGUUGUAAACUGCUUUUAUAAGCGAGAAAUAUGAUGGUAACUUAUGAAUAAGGAUCGGCUAACUACGUGCCAGCAGCCGCGGUCAUACGUAGGAUCCGAGCAUUAUCCGGAGUGACUGGGUGUAAAGAGUUGCGUAGGUGGCAUAAUAAGUAGCUAGUGAAAUCUGGUGGCUCAACCAUUCAGACUAUUAGCUAAACUGUUAAGCUCGAGACCGUUAGGGGUAACUGGAAUUUCUAGUGUAGGAGUGAAAUGCGUAGAUAUUAGAAGGAACACCAAUAGCGUAGGCAGGUUACUGGGACGGUUCUGACACUAAGGCACGAAAGCGUAGGGAGCAAACGGGAUUAGAUACCCCGGUAGUC